UACGAAGGGGGCUAGCGUUGCUCGGAAUCACUGGGCGUAAAGCGCACGUAGGCGGAUUGUUAAGUCGGGGGUGAAAUCCUGGAGCUCAACUCCAGAACUGCCUUUGAUACUGAGGAUCUUGAGUUCGGGAGAGGUGAGUGGAACUGCGAGUGUAGAGGUGAAAUUCGUAGAUAUUCGGAGGAACACCAGUGGCGAAGGCGGCUCACUGGUCCGGUACUGACGCUGAGGUGCGAAAGCGUGGGGAGCAAACAGG
rnacentral:rRNA from 1 species